rnacentral:tRNA from 1 species
CAGAGGUUAGUUUAAUAAAAUUUUAAAUUUGGGUUUUAAAGAUAGAAUAAAUAUUCUUCCUCUGA